rnacentral:sRNA from 1 species
GCCUGGCGCGGUGGCGCACGCCUGUCAUCCCAGCGGCUCGGGAGGCUGAGGCAGGAGGAUCGCAAGGUGGAGGCCAGCCUCAGCCACUUAGCGUGGCCCUGAGCAGUUCAGUGAGACCCUGUCUCUA